GGAAUAUUGGACAAUGGGUGCGAGCCUGAUCCAGCCAUGCCGCGUGCAGGAAGACGGCCUUCUGGGUUGUAAACUGCUUUUAUCUGGGGAUAAAAAGCCCAUGCGUGGGACAUUGAAGGUACCAGAUGAAUAAGCCACGGCUAACUACGUGCCAGCAGCCGCGGUAAUACGUAGGUGGCAAGCGUUGUCCGGAUUUAUUGGGUUUAAAGGGUGCGUAGGCGGUCAUAUAAGUCAGUGGUGAAAUACUUCA
rnacentral:rRNA from 1 species